GUGCCAGCAGCCGCGGUAAUACGAAGGGAGCUAGCGUUGUUCGGAAUCACUGGGCGUAAAGCGCACGUAGGCGGAUUUGUAAGUCAGGGGUGAAAUCCCGGGGCUCAACCUCGGAACUGCCUCUGAUACUGCAAAUCUCGAGUCCGGAAGAGGUGGGUGGAAUUCCUAGUGUAGAGGUGAAAUUCGUAGAUAUUAGGAAGAACACCGGUGGCGAAGGCGGCCCACUGGUCCGGUACUGACGCUGAGGUGCGAAAGCGUGGGGAGCAAACAGGAUUAGAUACCCCGGUAGUCC
rnacentral:rRNA from 1 species